AGUAAGAUUGAGCUGUGUUAGGUCUGAAGAGGCCACCACAAGAAAAUGCAAAGAUGUGAGGAGAAGCUCAUCAGGGGCAGUGGGCCACCGAGGGGAGCCCGGCCAUCUCCUUGGCCAGCUGUGCUGGACGCCUGCUCUUCAAACCCCGCAUCAUCCCGUGUACCCCGAUGCCACCGGCUCUGCUCUCUUAUCCCACGUUUGGAGCUUCUGGAGUUUCACUGAAACUCGAUCAAAACCAGUCAAUUAAAAUGAUCUCUCUGAUCUUCAUCUUUUAAAACUAAGAAAUUUCACUGGACUCUGCUCCUUUGGCCAAAGCAGAAGCCCGGAUGACACCUAUUGAUGACCAGGAGUUACGAAGCCGCUGGCAGUGGCCAUCCUCACCGCACCACGAGGAGUCCCUUUGCUCACCCAAGUCUAGGCGGGGGGCUCGGAGCAGUUUAAGGAUGAAGAGGCUUUGACCCAGCUUGUGCGACGUCCACACAGCGAGAGGGUGCAGCUGGGACAUCUGGGGACUAGGAGCUGGUCCGCAGUGGGCCUGGGAAGCCUUGAGACCCUGAGCGUGUGGAAGUUCUCCAGGCCAAGACCAGCACCGCAGGUUCGAUUGACAGGCUCAUACGGGUCAUCUUCAGGGCAGCCGAGUGCCAGGUGGAGUCCUGAAGUGCAGAGACGGAGCAACUCAGACAAAAAGAACUGUGUGCUGGCCGCUGCAGUAGCCAUCAGCCAUGUGUGGCCAUGAUGCACGUGAAGAGGAGCUAGUGAGUCCUGAGACAUGGGCAGUACACGCUGGCUUUUAAAGAUGACAUCAAACAUGAGAUUACAUCUCAAUAGUUUCAUAAUGGACUCAAUGUUCAAAGGAUAAUGUUUUAGACAUAGCGGAUGAAAUAAAAUUUGUUAUUGAAUGAAAAUGUAUGCAUAAUCAACUGAAAACAGCUUGUUCUGGGCAUUUAGAAAACUUCCCCGGAGCCAAAAAAGGAACGGUGAUGGGGAGAAGUAAAAGCAGAUGUGGGUGACAGCUGAGGGGCUUCGAGCAAGAAAGCCCAGGGGAGACCCGUGCCGACGGAGCUUCUAGAGCCUCCUGCUCCCUCUGUGAACUGGCUCACGACACCACAUGUGGCUGGGCUUUGGGUCUGAACAAGAAGAUGAGGUCUCCACCCUCACAGAAAGCUCGCACCGUGGGCCCUAUCCUUGGCUUUCAAAGCUGCCAGUGGAGGAGGUUGUAGGUCACUGACCAAAAGGAAGACGGGAGAGGUCAAUGCAGUGCAUAGCAAACAAGCCCGCUCUCCCUGAGGCUCCGUCCCCGGGGCGUGCACUGCUCUGAUUCUGCCGGCUCAGCACAAAAGGGGGCAGGAGAGUGCAGCCAGCAGCCUGCAGUGAUUGUAUGACUGUGUCAAGCUAAUUAGCCAUCUUUAUUUAUUUAUUUUUCUGUUUUUUUCUCCCCAAAUCCCCCCAGUAUAUGGUUGUAUAUUUUAGCUGUGGGUCCUUCUAGUUGUGGCAUGUGGGACGCCGCCUCACUGUGGCCUGAUGAGCGGUGCCACGUCCAUGCCCAGGAUCCGAACCGGUGAAACCCUGGGCCGCGGAAGUUGAGCGUGCGAACUUAACCACUUGGCCAUGGGGCCAGCCCCUAAUUAGUCAUCUUGAAACCGGCUCAACACAAGGUUGACGUAAGGGAAGCCAUAUUGUAGAAAAGAGCCCAUGUUGUAACUUUGGAUGACCUCUGACUAACUAACCCAACUGGAUUUGCACCCUCCAGGAGAUCCACCUGCUCUGUAGAUUUUGUGACCCCUGCUAGUGCAUGUACUUCCCAGCUGCGAUAAAAUGAUAACUUUGUUCUUUUUAGUUCCUUUGGAAUGUGAUGGCCCCCAAACAGAGAGUCUAUGCUCACAGCUGUCAUCAAUGAAAACUGGAAGAUCUGGUGUGGCCACUCCCAGUCUGUAACACCAGAGGGUCAACAUUCCCACCCCUUCCCUGUAACCCACUGGCCCGUCUAACUGCCUCAAGUUUCUGUGCCCCCUCA
rnacentral:lncRNA from 1 species